rnacentral:lncRNA from 1 species
AUUUACCUCAUCCCAGCUGGGUAUAAAAGGGGCUGGGAAGGCGUGAGGCUUCCUCAGCUCCCAGGGCAGGUGGGUGAGGAGGAGGCACCAGAGGGGUCAUGGCAGCUUUCCUGCUCUUGGCACCACUGCUCCUGCUGGGGACGGUGGCUGGCCAGGCAGAGACAGAGCUGGAGGAGUGCCUUUGGCCCUGGAAUGUGACUGAAGGGAAUUUCUCUGUGGAAACAACACCUGGGACUUACCAGGCCAACACAACCUACCUGGUGACCAUAAAGGACGACAGGAACCACAGCAACAGCUCGGGGCAGCUCCUGCUGCAGGCCUUGUCCCCCCAGAACACCUCGGUGGGGCAGUGGCAGGAUGCAGCCACAGGGCUGUGCAACUCUGUGCUCACAGCAGUGCUGAACAUCUCUGAGAGCACGGCCCACUGGACAUCCCCCAGCAGCAACCUCUCCUCUGUGCAGAUCAGGGUCUAUCUCAGCCUCCCUGGUAACAUCACCGAGCUCAAGACCUGGAUGCUGACCAGAGGGGCAGACACCACCCCGGUGCCCCCCAGCACCACGCUGGCCCCCAGCCCCACUGCCAGCUGGGGGAGCAGGGCUCAGGGCAGCUCCUGGCUCCUGCCUGCCCUGCUGCUGCUGCUGCUCUCCUAGAGGGGCCCCAGCUGGGCUGCCCUGCUCAGGAACCCGGGGCUGGGCUGAAUUACUCAGGAGAACUGUUCCUUGCUGUGAGAAAUGCACAGGAAAUGAGGAAGGUUUGUGUGACACCCGGCUGAUCGUCCCCUGCUGCCCUCGCCCACAAGCUCAGCAGAAGGAAAUUCCCCCAGCAGAGAUCCCUCUGCCCCUCUGGGGGAUCUCUCUGCCCUUCUUCUGAUCCCUCUGCCCCUCUGGGGGAUUCCUCUGCCCUUCUUCUGAUCCCUCUGCCCCUCUGGGGGAUCCCUCUGCCCCUCUACUGAUCCCUCUGGCUUUUCUGACCCAAAAAUGGGCGAGCAGAGCCCAUGGAACACGGGCACUCAUGAAUCCAUGAUUUCCUCAUCGCCUGGCAUUGUGUGAAGCACAAAAAGCCUGAAGGGAGGAGAAUCCUUCUCCUUCUCCUUCUCCUUCUCCUUCUCCUUCUCCUUCUCCUUCUCCUUCUCCUUCUCCUUCUCCUUCUCCUUCUCCUUCUCCUUCUCCUUCUCCUUCUCCUUCUCCUUCUCCUUCUCCUUCUCCUUCUCCUCCUCCUCCUCCCCUCUGCCUUUGCCCCAUCCCCUCCCAGGAGCAGAGCUGACCCUGCCAAGGGAAAUCCUGCUCAGAGCCCCCGGCCCUCCAGGCUGAGCCCUGGGUGCUGCCCAGGACAGGCUGCAGAGCCCCCACCAAGCCCAGGAAUUUCUGCUCCAGGUCCAAAACCCCCUCAGUUUUGUUCUUCCAGCAGAUGACAAAGUUUCUCUCUGUUUUCCCUCUAUUUUUUUUCCCUGGAAAGGCAAGAUGGGCAUUUUGUGUUCCUCUUUUAUUAUUUUUUUUUAAUCAACAGCUGAUUUUGCUGUAGGACAAGAUUAUUGUGUGGGGGCCAGUGGAUGCCUUGAUUUUAUUAUUGUUUGUAUUUUUAUAUGGGCAAAAUGUGUAUGUAGAAAUUUUCCAACUUGUGAGAAGCAUUUUUUUUUUCUUAAACCAAUCUAAAUAAAAUAAGGAAUUAAAAU